rnacentral:rRNA from 1 species
UGGGGAAUUUUUCGCAAUGGGGGAAACCCUGACGAAGCAACGCCGCGUGGAGGAUGAAGGCCUUCGGGUUGUAAACUCCUGUCGACCGGGACGAAAGUAGUUCGAUCCAAUACAUCGGGCUAUCGACUGUACCGGUGGAGGAAGCCACGGCUAACUCUGUGUCAGCAGCCGCGGUAAUACAGAGGUGGCAAGCGUUGUUCGGAAUUACUGGGCGUAAAGGGCGCGUAGGCGGUCUUAUAAGUCUCGUGUGAAAUCCCUCGGCUUAACUGAGGAACUGCACGGGAUACUGCAAGACUUGAGUUCGGGAGAGGGAAGCGGAAUUCCGGGUGUAGCGGUGAAAUGCGUAGAUAUCCGGAGGAACACCGGUGGCGAAGGCGGCUUCCUGGACCGACACUGACGCUGAGGCGCGAAAGCUAGGGGAGCAAACGG